GAAUGUGCUGUCUGUUUUACAUAUGGACACAUGGAACCGCAGGGUUGUGAUUUAAUGACACGUGUCAGUUUUUUUCUCUCUAUGAAACAUGCUGAACUAUAAUAAAACUCUUAAGUACUGUCAGGCCUGGCUGGAUGGCAUUAAGGAGCCAUACAACGACUAUACAUUAUUUACAAUAUUACAUUAUUAAUUAUUAAUUGUAACCGGAAGGUUACUGGACAACCCUGCUAUACUUGGGCAAGACACUUUACCUGCAUAGCCCCCAGUGUACUCACUGGUGUAUGGCACUCUUUGCUGGGCUGCCUUAAGCAAUUUCCCCAUUGUGGGACUAAUACAGGUUUCAAAUUUUAUUUAUUAAAAUAUAGAUAUUACUGUUUUCUAUUGGUCAUUGAUAAACUUUUGUUUUUCUUUUUGCUACAGAAAAAUGAUACAGUUAUCACUUUUCAUCCACAAGAGUCAGUUUUUGAACGAUGGAGUCAGAUCCCACUUGAAAUCAAAAAGGAGGCUGGACAGCGGAUGAAAAUCUGUGUCUUUUGGCUUCCUAUUCUAUUGCAGCGGGACGAGUCCAGCAAUGCUGUUUGCUGGGCUGCAGAAAUAGGUCUAAUCAGCUCAAAGAACACAGUGGACCUACGUCUGAAGCACCUGCGCAAGAUUGAGACAGUGGAGACAAUCCUCAGAGCCUUGGAGCAAGGAUCUUUGAAAAAGGACCAAAGCAAACAUGUUAAACUUGCAUCGCACCGUUGA
rnacentral:lncRNA from 1 species